UGGAGCAGUGGAAACAUUUAAGCUGUGUGUCAUCCAGCAGGCUGAGGGAAACCAUCAGUACAUGGUUCUGCAGCAGAGGAGGAAAAUGUACAUAAAUUGGGGUGCUGUACUAAAAACCACAGGGCUGCUGUGGUUUCCGUAGCCGGAAGAUAGAUUGGGAUGUAAAUCCCUGUUGGACAGAUAUGGGGCUAUUUACUGGGUAUUGCUCAAUUAGAAGCACAGAAACACUGUUAAAGAGCCCUCCUGGUUUGAUGUUGCCCAGGGACAUACUGAAUGCUGGAGACAGAAGCUCUGCCCUCCGAACCUCCCUGCCAGGAUGGAUUUGGCAUGGACAGAAGGCAGUGAUAUUGGAGAUCCUUGGAUUCAUCAACCACAACAGGAAAUCCAUGCCUCUAAAUCUCAACUCCAGGCUUAAAACUUUGGCACUUUGUCUUGUCUAUUAGAAACCACCUCAGUGCAAGUAAACCACUGGCUACCCAUGACCAGAUGGAUGUUGCAUCCAGGUUUUUCACAGUGCUUACACCACAUUUCUUUUAUAGAUGGAUACUUACAGAAUAUUGUUCGGAAGUAAAGGGAUGUAUGCCAGUUUUGGACAGAAUAUUCCUCUUACCAAGUUUUGUGCCACCUACUUACCCAUUUGUCUCAACCUAAUCUCCCAAGUCUUUGAAUUAGCUACAUGUGAUUUUUGUAUCUUGUUUGAUUUUUUGAGAGGCCUUUUUGUGACGAGUCUUUUGUUAACACAAAGUGUUCCAUAAGCAGAAGAAAUAAUGCAGUGUGGUUUUCUACAGAAUCUCAUUUUAGCUUCUUUCAUUUUAGCCUCUGUCUCCCAUUGUCACUUCUCCACUACUCCACAGAUCCCCUCAUUAAAUGACAAAGGCAGAAGAUGCUGUGGCUAUUUCCAAGUUCUUUGUGCCAGUGGAUGCUCCUGCUGACUGCCCAGUUGACUGCUACUAACAGGAACUCUAUAAUACUCUGUAUUACGGAGUUUUACCUGCCUGGUCCUCAGCACAAAGUUGGUUUGCUCUUUUCUUCUAGCCAAUUUUCACAAAAUACUGAGAUUUCUUCUUUGUCAGAGCUGGAUGAACUGGCCAGGAGAUAAUGGAAUUUGUGUGGGGAAAAUAGGAAACUCUUCCCAAAACAGUUUGUUACUAUUA